AGCAGCCGCGGUAAUUCCAGCUCCAAUAGCGUAUAUUAAAGUUGUUGCAGUUAAAAAGCUCGUAGUUGAAUUUCGGGGUCAGUAGGUUGGUCGUGCCAUCGGUACGUACUGGUCUCACUGAUUCCUCCUUCCUGAAGAACCGUAAUGCCAUUAAUUUGGUGUUGCGGGGAAACAGGACUGUUACUUUGAAAAAAUUAGAGUGUUUAAAGCAGGCUAACGCUUGAAUACAUUAGCAUGGAAUAAUGAAAUAGGACGAUCGAUCCUAUUUUGUUGGUUUCUAGGAUUGACGUAAUGAUUAAUAGGGAUAGUUGGGGGCAUUAGUAUUCAAUUGUCAGAGGUGAAAUUCUUGGAUUUAUUGAAGACUAACUACUGCGAAAGCAUUUGCCAAGGAUGUUUUCAUUAAUCAAGAACGAAAGUUAGGGGAUCGAAGACGAUCAGAUACCGUCGUAGUCUUAACCAUAAACUAUGCCGACUAGGGAUCGGAUGAUGUUAAUUUUAUAAUGACUCAUUCGGCGCCUUA
rnacentral:rRNA from 1 species